UACGGAGGGGGCUAGCGUUGUUCGGAAUUACUGGGCGUAAAGCGCACGUAGGCGGCUUUGUAAGUUAGAGGUGAAAGCCCAGGGCUUAACUCUGGAAUUGCCUUUAAGACUGCAUCGCUAGAAUCGUGGAGAGGUGAGUGGAAUUCCGAGUGUAGAGGUGAAAUUCGUAGAUAUUCGGAAGAACACCAGUGGCGAAGGCGACUCACUGGACACGUAUUGACGCUGAGGUGCGAAAGCGUGGGGAGCAAACGGG
rnacentral:rRNA from 1 species